rnacentral:rRNA from 1 species
AGUGAACGCUGGCGGUAGGCCUAACACAUGCAAGUCGAACGGCAGCACAGUAAGAGCUUGCUCUUACGGGUGGCGAGUGGCGGACGGGUGAGGAAUACAUCGGAAUCUACUUUUUCGUGGGGGAUAACGUAGGGAAACUUACGCUAAUACCGCAUACGACCUACGGGUGAAAGCAGGGGAUCUUCGGAACUUGCGCGAUUGAAUGAGCCGAUGUCGGAUUAGCUAGUUGGCGGGGUAAAGGCCCACCAAGGCGACGAUCCGUAGCUGGUCUGGGAGGAUGAUCCGCCACACUGGAACUGAGACACGGUCCAGACUCCUACGGGAGGCAGCAGUGGGGAAUAUUGGACAAUGGGCGCAAGCCUGCUCCAGCCAUACCGCAUGGGUGAAGAAGGCCUUCGGGUUGUAAAGCCCUUUUGUUGGGAAAGAAAAGCAGCAGGUUAAUACCCCGCUGUUCUGACGGUACCCAAAGAAUAAGCACCGGCUAACUUCGUG